UGACAGGGUGCUGAUUGGUGCAUUUACAAUC
rnacentral:piRNA from 1 species